rnacentral:lncRNA from 1 species
CUCCUCUUCUUCUUCUUCUUCUUCUUCUUCUUCUUCCCCCUUCUACUUAUUCUACUUUUCGUCUUAUUUUUUCAUCUUUUUUCACUUCCUUUAAUUAUGACUAUUUAACUAAAACCUAACACUAGUCUAAUAUAAUCCAAUCUAAUUAAUCUAAUCUAGCUAACUAUAUAACCUAAACCUAAACUAAUUAAAACUAAACUAUUUAAACUAAUUAAACCUAAACUAAUUAAACUAAAUAACCUAAACUAAUUAAUUCUAAACUGAAAAAACUUAAACUAAAAAACCUUAUCUAAACAGAAAAGAAAAACAAAAAAACAGAAAAGAAAAUAGGACACAGGGGGGCGGCAGG